rnacentral:lncRNA from 1 species
UUACUUUUCUUUUAUUAACUUUACCUUUAGCAACCACAAAAUAAAUAUAAAAAGAAACAUAAUACAAUUACCAUAAUGUUAUAAUCUAUUUAGACAUAUAGAAAAGGUUUAUUCCUAUAAAAAGAGUGUAUAACAAGUAAAUGCAGAUAUUGGUGUUUUAAUGGUAUUUAUGAGUCUUCAACGUUUGUGACAUGGUGGUUGUAGUGCUUGUGUGCAGCUAUUGUUGGCACUUUAUGAUGGAUGGGUAUGGUGUCUGGUCGAUUAUGAUGGAUGGGUAUGAUUGAUCCGGCAAAGUUUUAUUGCUGAGAAAAAAAAAACACAUUAGUAAACAGGGAGCAAAAAAUAAUAAAUUACUUAUAUGUAAUCCAUUAAAAUUGUUUGAAUUUACUUUUCAUAGUCAACAAUAUGUGAUAACAAUGAUACGAUAAGACGUUAAUCUUAGAUUAUACCAAUUAUAAAUAAAUAAAUCCCUUACUUGAAAUUGUAUAGUAAUUUGAAGAAAAGGAACAUGGCUUAAAAGUUACACUAUAAUAUAUUUUGUCAUUUAAAUCCAAAGGAUUAAGAAACUUUUGAAGUGUAUAUAUAUAUGGGUUUCUGGUUUUUCAAAGUCAUUAAAAAUUAUCACACCUACAAACCUACGUAUAAAGAAAGGAGAUUGAGAGAUGGAAGUUCUUUCACAUUUUAGUCAUGUUCAUCCUCUAAUUUUUAAUGAUGAGAAAAGCCAUGAAAGUGAGGAGGUUUAUUGUUGUGCGUGUGGAGAGUUGGUGUCAGGUCCAAGGUUU